CAGGGGCUCCAGUACGGACAUAUUUUAUACACCUCCCGCAUUAAUUGAUACACUCUGUGAUGACACAGCCUCUGUGUCUCCCCUAUUGUUGGUUCUCUCCUAGCCACCAUCACACUGUAGAUAACAAAUAGAGGGUGGGCAGAUGGAUAAAUGCAGGAUUAGUGGCGUGGAGAUGUUGGUCUAGUGUUCAUUCCCCUAUGACUGGACUUGGCAAAUUGAAGCAGAGCAGAAGGGGAAGUGGUAAAGACAAGUUCCUGGAUCUUAUUCAGAGCUCAGAUAUUCCCAUCACUGCCAUCUUUUAUGGGUCGUGUUUUCACUCAGCCUAUCAGGAAAUGUAUGUGAUUUCCUGUAAGGAUCUGAAUGAACUUAAGGUGUCAGAAGAAACAUGGGACUGUCAUCUGGAGGAAUGUCACUGGUGAAAUUCUUUCUGGAAACCCAUCCUUCCAGGAGAGAGAUACAUGACAUCCAUACUCUUUCUCACCGAAACACAUCUCUGAAGAGAGAGGAGUGGAUGGUCUCAGCAUUUCCGGGGCUCAUCAAAAAAGCUCCCUAGUAAGUCAUACCUUUGAGUAAGCACCUGCUUUGGCACUUGACUGAAUAAAAACAGAUGGAAAGCUGAGCAAUAGCCCUGAAGACCUGCAACUGAGUCGCAAAUGUGCUCCCAUGACAUUGAGGCACUGUAACAAGGGCCUAGAGGAGUCUGUCGUUUGGGAGGAAGGGAAGAAAGAAGAGACACAUCCCUUGAUCCUCUGCUGGUGACCAGACAUCAGAAAAAUACAUCCACUCUGCCCUGUGAAAGCCUUUCCGAGGUCCAGACAGACACAACUGGGCACUAAUUAAAGCAGUGAAAGCAUAUUUUAUUUUCUAUUUUAUUCGGUAACUACUGACAGCAGGGGGAAAGUGGGACUCCAUUUCAUUCGU